AUUAUGUCCGCGCUGACAACAACAGGGCUUGAUCCACUGCAAGUGAAGUGAAGGACUGUUAUCUUAAGAGAGAUGGAAUACUGAGCCAGCAGAGAGUGUAGAGAAUGAGAAGAUUAACAGAAGAUCUAGCAGGACCUGCUGAGUUGAUUCAUUGUUGCUGCAGACAGCAGAAAGUAAUGUUACCCAGAUGGCCUGGCAGGCUAUGAAAGAGUGGCUGAGUCCGGUGUUCUGGGGUCUGCUGCCAGUCCUCUCUGCAGGUCUCUGUAUCUUUCUGAGCCUUAAUGAGGCCCAACCUGCUUAAAAUCAUCUGCUCUGAUGUGGCUAACCAAACCUCAGUGGAUUCCCAAGUCCAAGCCUCCUGACUGUGGCUGGGCCUGUGUGGUAGUGAAAACUGGCAGCUUCACCUCCCAUAGGCAUGGAAUGCAUAAGGACAAGCAAUUAUCCUGUUUCCUCAGGAGAGUAAUGGAUUACACCUCACACACACUGUAUCAACUGCACUGUACCAGCAGGAAGCAGAGGGAAAUUCCAUGUCCUUUCUACUUUGAAAUAGGAGAAAAGAGACAGAUAAACUGAAGGAAUGAAGACAAAGUGGAAGUGCCUAAACAUUUCAAGUUUAAUAACCUGAGCUGAACAACGUUACACACGAAGGAGCUGGAACGUAUUAGCGACUCCAGUGAAGAGUUCUCAGCAGGAAGAAGAAGCAGAUGAUUCACCACCCUUUGUUUAUGUGGGGGACACCAUCUGCUAUCACACCAAGUUCACAGAGGCUACAAAUGUUCUGAGGAGAUUUUACUUUCCAUACCAGGAAUCUACAAUGCAAAGGGGAGUCUGAUUUUGUCUAAUUAUUGUUUCUGUAUUUCUGUAUUAAUGUACAUGUUUAUAGAAUUAUGUAUUCAGUUGAAUUUUCUGUGUAUUACUGUGCACAUAAUUAUGAACUCAGCUAAUUAAUGAUCUAAAUCUUAUCCUAACAUUAACCUGAGUAAUUAAAAGAAAAGCAUUUUUUUUUAAAGGGUCAACACUGUCAGAUGUUCCUGUUCUUGUGGAGCCUUUUGGUCUCCACCAAGUUAUAAAAACAUACCCACACCCACGCAUGCACACACACACACACACACACACACACACACACACACACACACACACACACACACACACACACACACACAAAUACUAGAAUAACCUAUAAUGCUGUAAUCUGUUUAAAUGCCAUGAUAAUCCAUUAUUACUUAUAAAAACACAGCUAGAACAACAGGCUUUUUGAUUCCAAGACAUCAUAAUCAUCAGAGGUUACAUUAUCUAAUACAAACACACUUCCAAUAUUGAGCACAACAGUCUAAUGCCAAGAACUAGUCUUUGUGAGAUGCUGAAGUGUUGAACACAAGACAUGCCCUUGAUAUGGCAUGGCAUGUUUUUUAUACAACACUGAAACAAAUCUGUCUGGGAUGAAAUUUAAGACAAAGCUGGGAGCCAAAACAAUGAGUGAGCUGAAUGAUAAGCUAAAGGCAAAAUGGAAACCUGCUGGAACACAGCUCAUGCAUGUCAGCUAUAUUGCUUCAUAAUCCCCCUGUUAUCUACAACAGCAGGAAACAAAAUGAUGCUAUACAAUUUAAAUUGUGAACUGUUACAAGAGAAAUCGAUCAAACAUGAGAGGCUUCUUUAACACAAGACUGGAGUUCUGGGUCAUCAGCAGGCCUGUGUGGAACAGGUCUGGCUCCCUCCAGGGGCUGCUGAGGUUUUCGGUCAGGCAUGGCCAACCAUUUGUCAUCUGCCUUAUCUGCCUGUUAUUAUCCGAAAUGGAUGCCAGAUGCCCUGGAGCGCAGCCAUAGUAACUGGAUUUGCUGCAUGCACAGAAAAAAACCUGGACUCGUAAUUACAUAAUUCUGAACAUUAUAUGGAGUAUGAUAAGGUGUAUGUUUUGUGUGUGUGUGUGCGUGUGUGUGCAUUGAAGGAUAAGGUUUCAGGCAGUUUUCCUCUCAUGCAAGACUGGUCUUGUAUUUCUUGUACAGUGAGGGAAAAAAAUAUUUGAUCCCCUGCUGAUUUUGUACGUUUGCCCACUGACAAAGAAAUGAUCAGUCUAUAAUUUUAAUGGUAGAUUUAUUUGAACAGUGAGAGACAGAAUAACAACAAGAAAAUCCAGAAAAACGCAUGUCAAAAAUGUUAGAAAUUGAUUUGCAUUUUAAUGAGGGAAAUAAGUAUUUGACCCCUCUGCAAAACAUGACUUAGUACUUGGUGGCAGAACCCUUGUUGGCAAUCACAGAGGUCAGACGUUUCUUGCAGUUGGCCACCAGGUUUGCAAACAUCUCAGGAGGGAUUUUGUCCCACUCCUCUUUGCAGAUCUUCUCCAAGUCAUUAAGGUUUCGAGGCUGACGUUUGGCAACUCGAACCUUCAGCUCCCUCCACAGAUUUCCUAUGGGAUUAAGGUCUGGAGACUGGCUAGGCCACUCCAGGACCUUAAUGUGCUUCUUCUUGAGCCACUCCUUUGUUGCCUUGGCCGUGUGUUUUGGGUCAUUGUCAUGCUGGAAUACCCAUCCACGACCCAUUUUCAAUGCCCUGGCUGAGGGAAGGAGGUUCUCACCCAAGAUUUGACGGUACAUGGCCCCGUCCAUCGUCCCUUUGAUGCGGUGAAGUUGUCCUGUCUCCUUAGCAGAAAAACACCCCCAAAGCAUAAUAUUUCCACCUCCAUGUUUGACGGUGGGGAUGGUGUUCUUGGGGUCAUAGGCAGCAUUCCUCCUCCUCCAAACACGGCGAGUUGAGUUGAUGCCAAAGAGCUCCAUUUGGUCUCAUCUGACCACAACACUUUCACCCAGUUGUCCUCUGAAUCAUUCAGAUGUUCAUUGGCAAACUUCAGACGGGCAUGUAUAUGUGCUUUCUUGAGCAGCGGACCUUGCGGGUGCUGCAGGAUUUCAGUCCUUCACGGCGUAGAGUGUUACCAAUUGUUUUCUUGGUGACUAUGGUCCCAGCUGCCUUGAGAUCACUGACAAGAUCCUCCCGUGUAGUUCUGGGCUGAUUCCUCACUGUUCUCAUGAUCAAUGCAACUCCACGAGGUGAGAUCUUGCAUGGAGCCCCAGGCCGAGGGGAGAUUGACGGUUCUUUUGUGUUUCUUCCAUCUGCGAAUAAUCGCACCAACUGUUGUCACCUUCUCACCAAGCUGCUUAGCAAUGGUCUUGUAGCCCAUUCCAGACUUGUGUAGGUCUACAAUCUUGUCCCUGACAUCCUUGGAGAGCUCUUUGGUCUUGGCCAUGGUGGAGAGUUUGGAAUCUGAUUGAUUGAUUGAUUCUGUGGACAGGUGUCUUUUAUACAGGUAACAAGCUGAGAUUAGGAGCACUCCCUUUAAGAGUGUGUUCCUAAUCUCAGCUCGUUACCUGUAGAAAAGACACCUGGGAGCCAGAAAUCUUUCUGAUUGAGAGGGGG
ensembl:lncRNA